UAGUUGGCCAAACCAAACCAAUAACUCGAAGAGACUUGCAAAGAUAUGGAAUCAUGCAUAUAAGAAUUCAGAAGCGACUCAAAUAAUAUUCAUGGGUAAUCUAAACAUAAACUCACAAUUCAUUGGAUCUCGACAAACACACCGCAAAAGAGUAUUACAUCGGAUAGAUCUCCAUGAAGAUCAUGAAGAACAUGGUAUUGAAG
rnacentral:lncRNA from 1 species